rnacentral:rRNA from 1 species
ACGCUGGCGGUGUGCUUAACACAUGCAAGUGGUGCGACGAACCAGAGCUUGCUCUGGGGCAAAGCCGCGAACGGGUGAGUAACACGUGGGUAAUCUACCCCGAUGACCGGGACAACCCGAGGAAACUCGGGCUAAUACCGGAUGUGGUACGGAGACAUAAGUCUCUUUACUAAAGGUAGCUUCGGCUUCCGCAUUGGGAGGGGCCCGCGGCCCAUUAGCUAGUUGGUGGGGUCAAGGCCUACCAAGGCAACGAUGGGUAGCUGGUCUGAGAGGACGAUCAGCCACACUGGGACUGAGACACGGCCCAGACUCCUACGGGAGGCAGCAGUGGGGACUCUUGCGCAAUGUGCGAAAGCGUGACGCAGCAACACCGCGUGAGGGAAGACGGCCUUAGGGUUGUAAACCUCUUUCAGAUGGGACGAAGGUGAUGCGGUGAAUAGCCGAUGUCAUUGACGGUACCGUCAGAAGAAGCUCCGGCUAACUACGUG